rnacentral:lncRNA from 1 species
GAGUGUCUUCUCCGCGUCCUGGGGCGUCGGUUUCGGUCCAGCCCGGCUGCGGCCCUUGUUUGCUGGGACAGUCCUUGGGCCGGUCUCCGUCCCUGUCCAGAGGCUCCGUACGUGAGGCGGACUCUCGGGAGCACCGAGCCGGGCGCGGAUAAGGGCGAGGACAGCUGUUGCAGGAACGGGGGCAGAAAAGGAGGACCAGGGGCCGAGAAGUCGCUCUGGCUACGAAAUUUCAGACACCGUUCUCAGCCUUCUCGACCCUCCACCCUUCCCCAAAAAAGGAGCACAAAGGAGCAAGCAGGGGUCACGCCUUUCCUCACAGUCUGACCCGGUUACGUGAGGCAGCCCGAGGUAACCAGAUCCACGUCUACGAAGAGGAGAAAUAGAACCUACCGUGGCGGGUUGUUAAGAAGAUUCGCUAAGUUCAUUCAUUUGAAAAACUCAUCACAGAGCUUGACAAACAGGCCUAACCAUUGGCUGCGAUUAUGUUAUCAUCACAGGGAGCAAGAACCUUGGCCGCCGUCUCGGUUUCCCGAAUACUUACUGGUCUCUAGUUUUAUGUGACUUUUAAGAUCUGUGUGGGCAUUUUUUAUAUUGGCAUUUGUACUUCACUAGGAAUUUGUCCUUUUAUGUAGAGGUUCACGUGUAUUUGCAUAUAGUUCAUAAUACCCUUGUAUUAUUUUAAAAUCUUAUGUUUGCAGUUAUUUCAUCAUUUUGCCCUGUAUUUUGUUUAUAAUCAUCUUUUUUUAAAAAACCAGACUUGCACAUAUCUGACUUAUUACAAUUUUAAGAGCAUUUUUUGGCUAUAUGCAUUUUUUCAUCAUCUAUUUAUUAUAUCUUUACUUUCAGUUUUGUCCUUUUUUAAAGUUUUCUCCUUUUUUUUAGAGGGGAAGGGUUUGUUUUCUGAGUUGAAUGCUUAGGUCAUUAUUAUCUAACCAUUCUUAUUUCUUUAAUGACAUUUACUUGGGUCUUGAAAAUUUUGAUGUGUAGCUAUUAUUCAGUUCAAAUUUUUCUUAAUGUUAUUAUAUUACUUAUAGUAUUAAUUUAAUAUUGAUUUUCUUUUUAAAUUUAAGGGCUAUUUAACGUUACUUGGAUUCCAGUACUAUGGGUGUUUUAACUAAUAGUUCCUAAUUUUUACACUGUAGCUAGUAUUCUGCUUUAUGUUGAUCCUUUGGAAUUCACUGAGAUUUCUUCUAUGGGCCAGUACACACCAUCAAUCUUAUGAAGUAUUGUGGGUUCAUGAAAAUAAUGUGUAUUUUGUCUUUUGGGAGUAUAGAGUUCAGCACAGGUGAAAUAGCUGGUGUAGCAGGAGCUCCCUUGGGGCCUGGUGGAGUAAAGGAUACAGCGUUGUCACUGCAGCAGCUUGGGUUGCUGCUGCGGCACAGGAUGAUCCCUAGCCCAGGAACUUCCACAUGCCAUGAACACAGCCAAAACAACAAAAAAAAGACCUCAUGUAUUUAAAAAAAUUUUUUUAAUUACUCAAUGAAUUUUAUUACAUUAAGAGCUCAUUUAUUAAUUGCAUUGCUUAGCCUUUAUAUUGUUGAGUGCUUUUGGCUUUUGCUGGAUCAUUUUCUGAGAGGAGUGUAUUAAUAGCUAUAAUUAUAAUCAAUGGCAUAUAUAUUAUAUCUCCUCACCUUGAAAUUAUGAUAGUUGUUACUUGAUACAUUGUGAAAUUUUAUUUGUGGGUGCAAUUUAAUUAUUUGGGAUAAUUUUGUCUGUUUAUUUACUAGUAUAUUAAAAAUACUGUUUUGUCCCUAAUGAUACACUUUUAAUUGGGGUGUGAUUGCCAUAUAGCAUUAUAUCGGUUUUCGUAUACCACAUGAUUCUGUAUUUGUGUAUGUUGUAAAAUGACCAUCACAGUAAGUCUGGUUAACAUCUAUCACUACCCAUAGUUAACAUUUUUUGAUGUAAAUUUAUCUCAGGUUUUCUAUUACAGCUUUCUUUUGGUUUCUAUUUGUGAGAAAUUUGUUUUUCCAUCCUUUUAUUCCCGCUUUUUUCUUUCGCUGUUUUUUAUUUUUUGCUUUUUAGGGUCGCACCCACAGCACAUGGAGGUUCCCAGGCUAGGGGUCAAAUUGGAGCUACACCACAGCCACAGCAACACCGGAUCGCCAACCCCGUGAGUGAGGCCAGGGGUCGAACCCGCAUCCUCGUGGAUACUGGUCGGAUUUGUUUCUGCCGCCCCGCAACAGGAACUCCCCCACAUGUUUUAGUGUAUUUCUUCUAAACCAUGUGAAUCUAUUUUUUAACCUAUAACUCUGCAUCUCUCAGUCUGUAGGCCAAGCCGUUUACAGUUUAUUAUAAUUACCAUUACUUUUGCUGUCAUAUGGCUUCCUCCUCUCCUUCCCCUUUCUGUUUUUGUUCGGAACAAGUUGUCUUCCGGCUUUUUACAAUUAUUAUUAUUUCUGCUUUGGUUCUUAUGAUGGUUUCUUUACCUUAAAACCCAUGUUGACUUCUUCUUACUCUUAUUAACGUCUUCAACUUUUUUUUUGGGGGGGGGGUGCCUGUGGCAUGUGGAAGUUCUUGGGCCAAGGACUAAACCCACGGCAGAGCAACCCAAGACACUGCAGUGACAAAGCUGGAUCCCUCACCUGCUGUGCCACAGCGGGAACUCCUACUAAACUUUUUUUUAAGUUGAAGUAUAGCUGAUUUACGGUGUCGUGGGAAUUUCUGCUGUUCAUCAAAGUGACUCAGUUUUAAAUAUACACACACAUUAUUUUUAA